CCUACGGGUGGCAGCAGUCGAGAAUCAUUCACAAUGGGGGAAACCCUGAUGGUGCGACGCCGCGUGGGGGAAUGAAGGUCUUCGGAUUGUAAACCCCUGUCAUGUGGGAGCAAAUUAAAAAGAUCGUACCACAAGAGGAAGAGAUGGCUAACUCUGUGCCAGCAGCCGCGGUAAUACAGAGGUCUCAAGCGUUGUUCGGAAUCACUGGGCGUAAAGCGUGCGUAGGCUGUUUCGUAAGUCGUGUGUGAAAGGCGCGGGCUCAACCCGCGGACGGCACAUGAUACUGCGAGACUAGAGUAAGGGAGGGGGAACCGGAAUUCUCGGUGUAGCAGUGAAAUGCGUAGAUAUCGAGAGGAACACUCGUGGCGAAGGCGGGUUCCUGGACAUUAACUGACGCUGAGGCACGAAGGCCAGGGGAGCGAAAGGGAUUAGAUACCCCGGUAGUC
rnacentral:rRNA from 1 species